rnacentral:lncRNA from 1 species
GGAACCCGGCCGACAGAAGAUGGCGGAUGAGCAGCGUGCAGGGUUUUCUCCCUGUGGCUCACUCUCUCUUACUGUGCUGGGCGGUUGCUUCCUCUCCUGCUGCCCUUGGGAGUCAGACUCCAGGUUCUUCAGCCUGUGGCCCCUGGGGCUCUCGGGCCUUGGAGGACUGACUAGGAGCACACGGUGGGCCUCUCUGGUUUGGGGGCCUGGGACGUGGCGGAGCCCUGCAGCUUCUGUGCGGCCUGUUCUGGGCGUCGCGUUGAAACGCCAGCCAGUUCCCCAAGUAAGCUCCCUGCACACACGCCUGAUAGCCUGUUGGUUCCGUCCUUCUGCGGGAUUUUCACUACCACUCUCUAACUCACACACAGCAGAAAGAGCAUACGGGAGAGAUGAAGCAGUCCACUCCAAGAACAUUCUCAUCCUACGGAUUACGAGUCCCCCUGGGAUUACAGGAGUGUUGAAGAAAUGUUGUGACACAUCAGAACACCGCGAAAUACAUGGACACUUUCAAAUCAUGGAAGACUCAAGGGUCAGGAGGGCAUCUUUCUCGGCUCUUCACUGUGAGAACCUUGUGGGAUUCCUGAAGAUGAAACCAUGAACGCGAGGGAGUCUUGCUAAAACUGCAGCAUUCGAGAGGUUUUCACUCAUGCUGGCUCACACUUGUCCUCUAGCAAUUCAUCAAAAUUACCACGUAAGUGUUUCAACAGUUUAUGGCUCAGGUGGCCUCAGCUGUGAUGCUCCAAAUUUGCCUGUUUCUCCAGAUGCAGGGUAGCAGUUUGCUGUUUCUCCUGAGUUCUUUGAUGGAUUCAAGAAAAGUCAUGAUUUUCAGUUUGUUCUGAUUUUUUCUUGUGAGGGCAAAGUAAUGACUAAGCUUUAAUGUGUUUCAGCUAAAACUACAUGUAUUUUAAUAGCAAAAUGAGAUAUAAUUCACAUGUCAUAAAAGUCACCAUUUUUGGGUGCACAACUCAUUGGAUUUUAGUAUAUUCCAGGGUUAUGCAAGAAUAAAUAUUCUCUAAUUUUGGAACAUAUUUAUCUACUCAGAAAGAAACUUUGUGCUCAUUAACAGUUACUUAAUAUUCUCUCUCCCCUAACCUAUGGUAACUACUAGUCGACUUGCUAUAGAUUAGGUUACUUUGGAUAUUUCAUAUAUGUUGAAUCAUAAAAUAUGUGCCUUGGCUUCUUUCACUUACCGUAAUAUUUACAAAAUUCAUUCAUCUUACAAAGUACUUCAUUCUAUUUUUGAUUUUAUGGGUUAAUAAUAUUCUACUGUCUGGCUAUAUACAUGUAUGAAUAAUGUGGCAACAUUUUGUCCAUACACUCAUCAUGUGAUUAGUAUUUGCUUUGUUGUUGUUGUGUGUUUUUUAUUUUUCAGUUAUUAUGAAUAAUGAUUAUGAAUUCAGUUAUUAUGAAUAACUACAAUAAAUAGUUAUGCAUAAG